UCUAUUAUUUCUGAAACACUUUUUUUUAACUCAGAAUAUUCUUUAAAAUCUAUAUAUUAGAAGGUUUUAUUUUUAACGUUAGGUUUAAGGUUGCAUUUCUGUAAAUAUCGGCAAUGCAAUUUCCCAUAGGAAAUCCUUUUACGGCUAAAACUGUACCACUUUUACUAUGAAGUUUUGAAAAAAAUUAUAUCCUAGAAUGGAAAGUUCAUAUGCACUACUAUUUUUUUCAAAGGUCAAAAUAUAGGGCUGUGCGGCAUAUUUUCAACGUUUAUAUGCCCCGAACUUCUAAGAGUUUAAACUUACACUAAAAGUCUGUACUACCCCUUCCUUGACUUCACAGAUUUCAAUUUGACCGCUAUGCAUAUGUAUAUUUACUAGUAACAUUCCCAAGGUAUAUCUUUACGAGAUGAAACAUAGAGAUCAUAUCUGGGAACCAGUACGUAAACAAAAUUAGUUAUCUAUGAAUAUUAUAUAUCUCUCCCCAAAAGAGGCGUGGUUUGUAAAACAGCUGUAUUUACAAAGUGCAACCUCAAAUGAUGUUGUAGCAAUGAUGAAUGCAUAUAUUGCAGAGACAGAAAAAAAACGUGUACUCCAAAAGCAGUUUGUCCCGUCGACUGGAUACUGCAUGGAAAAAGUUGUUACUAUUUCAGCCAUGAUUUGACAACUUGGAAUACCGCAAGGAUUGAAUGUGCAAAUAGAGGCGGAUACUUUGUUGAAGGAGAUCAAGAUUUAUGGUUGGUGUCAAUGCUGAAAGGCGAAGUAUGGGUUGGCUUAACCGACAGUCAUAGUGAAGGACGAUGGUGAUGGAAGACUGGGGCUUCUAGUACUUAUACCAAUUGGCAAUCUGGUGAACCAGAUGGUGGUAAAGGAGAAAACUGUGCAAAAUACUGUGAAAGGAAAUGACACAAGAGCUAUUAUGGUUGGAAUGACAGACCUUGUACGGUUCCAACUAGAUAUAUCUGUGAAAGAAACUAAGAUGAUUAAAGUUCUUUUGAUACAUCCAUUUAAUUUUUUUUUAACAUUAGAUUUAACUUUGGAAUUUACCGCCAUCUUUCAGUAAAAAUUCGCUUUUUUGACAUAUAAAUUGUUCAUACAAAAUACCAGUUUCAAAUCAUUUUCUGAAUAAAGCUGAAUGCAAUGGGUUUUUUUUGUU